rfam:Salmo salar isolate Sally breed double haploid chromosome ssa15, whole genome shotgun sequence.
UGCAUUCACUACUGUAAGUUGUCUGGAUAAGAGCAUCUGCUAAAUGACUAAAA